GGACUACUGGGGUAUCUAAUCCUGUUCGCUCCCCUAGCUUUCGCGCCUCAGCGUCAGUUACCAGCCAGGACACUGCCUUCGCCUUUGGUAUUCCUCCGGAUAUCUACGCAUUUCACCACUCCACCCGGAAUUCUAUGUCCCUCUCUGGUCCUCAAGUUGAACAGUUUUCGUCAGGCCUUGCUCAGUUAAGCCGAGCACUGUCACUGCAAACUUAUCCAACCGCCUGCACGCCCUUUACGCCCAGUAACUCCGGACAACGCUUGCCCCCUACGUAUUACCGCGGCUGCUGGCAC
rnacentral:rRNA from 1 species